rnacentral:lncRNA from 1 species
AGUUAAAAAGAAUACUAUUAUAGACGAACAGGAAAUACUGACUUAUUUCUCCUUUCAUAUCCAGGGAUGUGGCAAGCUUGUCUUUAUGGAAAGAGACUCUUUACGGAGACUGUACGAGUUUGAUGUGAUAGAAUCAAGUGUCGUUAGCUGCUUAUGGCACCCAAAAUUGAACCAGAUUGUGGUCGGAUGUGGAAAUGGAACCUCUAAAGUUUAUUUCGACCCUGAGAAAAGCAACAAGGGAGCUAAACUCUGUGUUGGAAAAGUUAAAGGAAAGGUGGCAUCAAAGGAGAUGCCCUUGAAGGAUCAAAUCAUUACACGUAAGUUUGUCUUGAAUAAAAUCAUUUUUGUUUUUGGAUGAUGAAUUGUAAAUUGCCCUUUUAGAUAGCUAAAUGACAGAAAUCCAACAUUUUUCUAUACUUAAACUCGUGAAACCCGUACCCUUUUAUAUUCCUCUAACCUGAAUAAGGACCCUUUUAGAGUGAAGCCUCUCUGUAUAGUCCAAUGUAGGAGGUAAUACCUAGUUUCAGAAGUGGAGAAGACCCUGGGGACGAGGUUGGCAUGAACAGUGGAAACGGAGCCCUUGGCCAGCGUCAUUCACAACUUGUGUGCAUGCGCAAAUUUUCUCAUGACGUAUCAGUGUUUACAAUUGUUUUAGUAUGGCCACGCAGCUUCCUUCAUGCGUUUUCAGUAGAAAAACGCGUUAUAGCCUGCGUAGCUGGCGGUAUUGUGGGCACGCGAAAUAAAGUUUUGUCGGCGGAGCCGCAAAAAAGCGAGCGGCGAAGCCGCGAGGUCAAUGGGGAGGAGGACUUUGAAAUACCGCCUGCACGAAAACCAUUGGUUUUUGAAUAGUCCGGAGACCAGUGUGCGGGAAAAACGGAUUGGUCGAGAGAAGUACACACGUCAAUCAAAUGUUAGGUGAUCCUUCAUAUAUUUCUCCUGGAAAUGCUUCAUGAUCAUCAUAAAUAAUGGAGGAUAGUCAUGUUCGCAACAGUGUUCCAGUUUUUUUACGACAGGCGUUUAGAAUGAUCGACUUCGUUUCGUCGUCGAAAGAACAGUGCGAAUCAAUACGGCCAGUCGGAUCUGCGAUCAACAGUGGUCUGUUUACCACACAAAUUUUCUACAUUCAACUCUGCAGAGAAGGGUGGAACGCGAGGUGUGAUUGUUUCCUGGUUGACAUCCAAAGGCAUGUUUUCUUUGUUCGUUGCAUUUGAAGGAGUCGAUUCUGAGAAAUUUAAUGAUUUCUUAGUGGUCGAACGGUCCUUGUAUAAAUUCUUUUUUGCUUGAGGACUCCUGUCCGGCGAAGACACAGACGACGGAAGAAGACGUUUAAUCCUUACUUGCGUAUCUUGAUGCGAAGAGAGCGGAACUUCCACAUUUCUUUCUAUGUCGGAGCGAAUGAACCGGACAAGUUCAACGGCGUUGAAUAUUUUCCUACCACAAGACUGACAAACUCGACUCAAUAGAGCACUAGAUUCCACAAUGUUCGCGCCAAUUUCCGAGCAAAGUUCUGCUAAUGUCUUGCCUUCACGCUUUGCGUGACCUGAAGAUUUAAAUAAAUUUUCCGUGGAAAUGUAUUUGGUACUUUUCUUAAAGUUACCGAAUUUCAUCUUCAGAUUGACACCACACAAUCUACAUAAGUCGUUAGUGCUUUCCUCUUGGCUUUUUCUAUCUCCCUUCGAUUCGCCAUGCAUGCAUCAACCAGAAGUGUAAGACGAUCGCCUUCACGCCUCUAUUUCGCGCGAAAAUAGUCGGUUCUAAUUGGUUGGUUCAAUUAAUUGGGGUCAGUUGAGGUCAACGAGGUGAUAACAGUGAGCGGCAUUCAAAAAACCCAAGUUCUCUGGCAAACGAUAUUUCUCGCGGCUUCGCCGCCAAAACUGUAUUUUGGUCUACGCCAAAACUUUAUUCCGCGCGCCUACAAUAUUGCCAGCUACGCAGGCUAAACGCGCUAUUGAAAACUAAUUUCUUACAGCAUCAAUAGCUCUCAUUGAAUGUUAUUUGAUGAUCGUAGAUGUUCUGACUGGAGCCUUGGACGCGGGAAAUAAAACGAAAGCACAGAUGUAUGCACAUCAAACGAGCUCUCACGAAGCAUGCGAACAUCCUGCUCCUGGGGAGGGGCGGGAUAUAUAUGGGCUAUAUGGGUAUGUGCGGCCCCAAAGGGUAUGGCUUUUUAGCCGCUAUAAACUUGGUCUGAAAUAGAGUAUCGAGUUUGGCCAUUUUGUCUCAAAUAGGGUCUGGUUUUCGCACUUUAAGUAGUAUAGGGGGAGUCACACAAAUACAAUUUCGCAAAGGGAGAAGUAUUUCCUCAUUUUGCAACUCCCAGCUUUAAGUCCGAAGCUCGCAAGCUCGCUUCGGUUAAACCGGGGAGUUGCAAAACGGGAAAUACUUCUCCCUCUUUGAAAUAGUAUUUGUGUGACUCCCCCUAUACUACUGAGGGGGAGAGACACCUAUUAGAAACAAGCGAGCCCGCUGUUAUACCGCCCGAGCCGCGAUGUCUCGAGCGACAAACAAGUGCGCGUGGCUGAUGCGGAGCCGGAAAGAAAGCUGCCAACUUUCCGUGGCCAUUCAAAGCCUCCCUCCAGAGCUUCGUGAGAU